rnacentral:rRNA from 1 species
GAUGAACGCUGGCGGCGUGCCUAAUACAUGCAAGUCGAGCGAACAGACGAGGAGCUUGCUCCUCUGACGUUAGCGGCGGACGGGUGAGUAACACGUGGAUAACCUACCUAUAAGACUGGGAUAACUUCGGGAAACCGGAGCUAAUACCGGAUAAUAUAUUGAACCGCAUGGUUCAAUAGUGAAAGACGGUUUUGCUGUCACUUAUAGAUGGAUCCGCGCCGCAUUAGCUAGUUGGUAAGGUAACGGCUUACCAAGGCAACGAUGCGUAGCCGACCUGAGGGGGUGAUCGGCCACACUGGAACUGAGACACGGUCCAGACUCCUACGGGAGGCAGCAGUAGGGAAUCUUCCGCAAGGGGCGAAAGCCUGACGGAGCAACGCCGCGUGAGUGAUGAAGGUCUUCGGAUCGUAAAACUCUGUUAUUGGGAAGAACAAAUGUGUAAGUAACUAUGCACGUCUUGACGGUACCUAAUCAGAAAGCCACGGCUAACUACGUG